ensembl:scaRNA
CUCCUGGGUCCCCGAUGCGGCCCUGGGCUGAGCCCUCAGUAUUUUCCUUAUAUGAUCAGGCCCCAUCGUGGGCGGCGCAGCUUACCUGGAGCCUGAGAGGAUUAUGAAAACGUGGCAGGCGAAGUGGGGCCAGGGGACCCGGCG